UACGGAGGGUGCGAGCGUUGUCCGGAAUCACUGGGCGUAAAGGGCGCGUAGGCGGCUUUUUAAGGGUGCGGUGAAAGCCCGGGGCUUAACCCCGGGUCGGCCGUGCCGACUGAAAAGCUGGAGCACUGUAGAGGCAGAUGGAAUUCCCGGUGUAGCGGUGGAAUGCGUAGAGCUCGGGAAGAACAUCGGUGGCGAAAGCGCUCUGCUGGACUGCAACUGACACUCAGGGACGAAAGCUAGGGGAGCGAAUGGG
rnacentral:rRNA from 1 species